AGUGAACGUUGGCGGCGUGGAUUAGGCAUGCAAGUCGAGCGAGAACCGUAGCAAUACGGGGACAGCGGCGAAAGGGACAGUAAUGUGUAGGUACCUACGUCCGGGUUCGGGAUAGCUGCGGGAAACUGCAGGUAAUACCGAAUAACGUCUCCGGACCAAAGGUGUGAUUCCACCUGGAUAGGGGCCUGCAUCCUAUUAGCUUGUUGGCGGGGUAACGGCCCACCAAGGCGACGAUGGGUAGCGGGUGUGAGAGCACGACCCGCGUCAUUGGGACUGAGACACUGCCCAGACACCUACGGGUGGCUGCAGUCGUGAAUCUUCGGCAAUGGGCGCAAGCCUGACCGAGCGACGCCGCGUGCGGGAUGAAGGCCUUCGGGUUGUAAACCGCUGUCGUAGAGGAGGAAAUGCAGGGGGGUUCUCCCCUCUGUUUGACCUAUUCUAGGAGGAAGUACGGGCUAAGUUCGUGCCAGCAGCCGCCGUAA
rnacentral:rRNA from 1 species